GAACUCUGGUAUUGAUUGGUGCUUGCAUCAUGAUUUACAUUUGAGUGAGUGGCGAACUGGUGAGUAACACGUGGGAAACCUGCCCAGAAGCGGGGGAUAACACCUGGAAACAGAUGCUAAUACCGCAUAACAACUUGGACCGCAUGGUCCGAGUUUGAAAGAUGGCUUCGGCUAUCACUUUUGGAUGGUCCCGCGGCGUAUUAGCUAGAUGGUGGGGUAACGGCUCACCAUGGCAAUGAUACGUAGCCGACCUGAGAGGGUAAUCGGCCACAUUGGGACUGAGACACGGCCCAAACUCCUACGGGAGGCAGCAGUAGGGAAUCUUCCACAAUGGACGAAAGUCUGAUGGAGCAACGCCGCGUGAGUGAAGAAGGGUUUCGGCUCGUAAAACUCUGUUGUUAAAGAAGAACAUAUCUGAGAGUAACUGUUCAGGUAUUGACGGUAUUUAACCAGAAAGCCACGGCUAACUACGUGCCAGCAGCCGCGGUAAUACGUAGGUGGCAAGCGUUGUCCGGAUUUAUUGGGCGUAAAGCGAGCGCAGGCGGUUUUUUAAGUCUGAUGUGAAAGCCUUCGGCUCAACCGAAGAAGUGCAUCGGAAACUGGGAAACUUGAGUGCAGAAGAGGACAGUGGAACUCCAUGUGUAGCGGUGAAAUGCGUAGAUAUAUGGAAGAACACCAGUGGCGAAGGCGGCUGUCUGGUCUGUAACUGACGCUGAGGCUCGAAAGUAUGGGUAGCAAACAGGAUUAGAUACCCUGGUAGUCCAUACCGUAAACGAUGAAUGCUAAGUGUUGGAGGGUUUCCGCCCUUCAGUGCUGCAGCUAACGCAUUAAGCAUUCCGCCUGGGGAGUACGGCCGCAAGGCUGAAACUCAAAGGAAUUGACGGGGGCCCGCACAAGCGGUGGAGCAUGUGGUUUAAUUCGAAGCUACGCGAAGAACCUUACCAGGUCUUGACAUACUAUGCAAAUCUAAGAGAUUAGACGUUCCCUUCGGGGACAUGGAUACAGGUGGUGCAUGGUUGUCGUCAGCUCGUGUCGUGAGAUGUUGGGUUAAGUCCCGCAACGAGCGCAACCCUUAUUAUCAGUUGCCAGCAUUAAGUUGGGCACUCUGGUGAGACUGCCGGUGACAAACCGGAGGAAGGUGGGGAUGACGUCAAAUCAUCAUGCCCCUUAUGACCUGGGCUACACACGUGCUACAAUGGAUGGUACAACGAGUUGCGAACUCGCGAGAGUAAGCUAAUCUCUUAAAGCCAUUCUCAGUUCGGAUUGUAGGCUGCAACUCGCCUACAUGAAGUCGGAAUCGCUAGUAAUCGCGGAUCAGCAUGCCGCGGUGAAUACGUUCCCGGGCCUUGUACACACCGCCCGUCACACCAUGAGAGUUUGUAACACCCAAAGUCGGUG
rnacentral:rRNA from 2 species